rnacentral:rRNA from 1 species
CGGCACGGGUGAGUAACGCGUGGAUAAUCUACCCCGAGGCCUGGGAUAACCCGCCGAAAGGCGGGCUAAUACCGGAUAAUGUCCCACUACAUAAGUAGUGUGACCAUAGGAGGCUCUGCUUCCGCCACGGGAUGAGUCCGCGUACCAUUAACUAGUUGGUAGGGUAAAGGGCCUACCAAGGCUACGAUGGUUAGCUGGUCUGAGAGGACGAUCAGCCACACUGGAACUGAGACACGGUCCAG